GUUGGUUUACACAGAGAUCAGGUCAGACCUUGUUGGAACGCUGAUCGUAAUCAGCCUGAGUCAUGUCUUCAGUCUGCCUGUUCACGUUGAUGCUUUCCGGACAGAAACUGUGUGAGUUUGUCCUGGCUCCCAGCACAGUGACGGUGAAACGAGUGGGAAGAAAACCUCUCUAACUGCGAAAGACUCGGGGACAAUCGGAAGCCUUUUUCGAACAAGUCCAGAUGUGCUGUGGAAGGUUUGAUUCCUCCUUUCCAUGGAGUUUAAUUUUGAUGCCCGUGUCUUUCUUGGGAAGUGUGUGGGUUUGUAUGGGCGUGGAGCUCUGCGCCGUCUCCUUGCACGACCGUUUAAAAAAAGAGUCGGUUGUGCAAGCUCACCUUGUUGUUCUCUCACCAAGUCCUCCAGGGCUUUUUCCCCAGCUGCUGAUUACUCUGACUAACAAAACACACUCUACUGGAAGUCUCAAUCUGCUCUAGCCGCCUCCAAACUGUCAAUUGAAUUGGAUCCUUCUUUAACACCGGGGUGUCAAAAGUGUGGCUUGAGGGUCAUUGGUAGGCCUUCGUAUUGAUUUUAUGUGGCCCCUGAUCACAGGCUGUGUUUCCAUUACAGAAAUUUGGCUGUUAUUCAGUCAAUGUCGAAAAAACAGAACUUUAUGUUUCCAUUGAAUAAGAAACAAUUAAAAUCGCACGAGACAAGGUCUAUCCAGCACAUGCGUGACGAGUACAUUGGUGAGUGUGAUCAGUGUGGGGGGGUGGCUCAGCGCAGCCGUGUGACCCUGACCUCCCUUCGAACUUGCCAGGUGAGCAGUCAGAGAUUGUCUCCUACAACUUAAAGACACCGUGUUGUUUUCCUGUCACGGACGAAAAUCAAGACUUUUGUCAAUCGAUCUCUCUAACGUCUCCAUGGGUGUGAGCAAAAAAAAAGAAAAGAAAAGUGAAUAUAGCACCAAAAUGAUGUUUCCUCCGGCUUCUUCCCA